GGGGAUGAUCGGCUUCGAGGGAGAGUGACUGAUCAUGUGUUCAGGUGUCCCGCCAGGGCGGGACUAAAUCUCACCCCUGGGAAACCAAUAAGUGCAAACUUAUUUUCUAAAGUAGCCGCUACUUUUGGCGCUUUGCGACCAAUGCAGUUGGCAACUUCUUACGCCUAACCGCGUAGGCAUCCGUCUCUGAUUCUCGCUGGGAGGUCGCGGGUGUUAUAAGCGAGAAAAACUCUAUCAAGAGUAUAACUUGAAAAACUUUCCGACUUCGGUUGGAUAAACCUGUAAACCGCAGAUCAUGAUUUUUUCUGACCCGGGUUCAAUUCCCGGCAUCUCCAUCA
rnacentral:tmRNA from 1 species